GAUGAACGCUGGCGGCGUGCCUAAUACAUGCAAGUCGAGCGAACGGACGAGAAGCUUGCUUCUCUGAUGUUAGCGGCGGACGGGUGAGUAACACGUGGAUAACCUACCUAUAAGACUGGGAUAGCUUCGGGAAACCGGAGCUAAUACCGGAUGAUAUUUUGAACCGCAUGGUUCAAAAGUGAAAGACGGUCUUGCUGUCACUUAUAGAUGGAUCCGCGCUGCAUUAGCUAGUUGGUAAGGUAACGGCUUACCAAGGCAACGAUGCAUAGCCGACCUGAGAGGGUGAUCGGCCACACUGGAACUGAGACACGGUCCAGACUCCUACGGGAGGCAGCAGUAGGGAAUCUUCCGCAAUGGGCGAAAGCCUGACGGAGCAACGCCGCGUGAGUGAUGAAGGUCUUCGGAUCGUAAAACUCUGUUAUUAGGGAAGAACAUAUGUGUAAGUAACUGUGCACAUCUUGACGGUACCUAAUCAGAAAGCCACGGCUAACUACGUG
rnacentral:rRNA from 1 species